GACGAACGCUGGCGGCGUGCUUAACACAUGCAAGUCGAGCGGAAAGGCUCCUUCGGGGGUGCUCGAGCGGCGAACGGGUGAGUAACACGUGAGUAAUCUGCCCUGCGCUCUGGGAUAGCCACCGGAAACGGUGAUUAAUACCGGAUAUGACUGCUACCCGCAUGGGUUAGUGGUGGAAAGUUUUUCGGCGCAGGAUGUGCUCGCGGCCUAUCAGCUUGUUGGUGAGGUAAUGGCUCACCAAGGCUUUGACGGGUAGCCGGCCUGAGAGGGUGACCGGUCACACUGGGACUGAGACACGGCCCAGACUCCUACGGGAGGCAGCAGUGGGGAAUAUUGGACAAUGGGCGGAAGCCUGAUCCAGCAACGCCGCGUGAGGGAUGACGGCCUUCGGGUUGUAAACCUCUUUCAGUACCGACGAAGCGAGAGUGACGGUAGGUACAGAAGAAGGACCGGCCAACUACGUGCCAGCAGCCGCCGUAAAAC
rnacentral:rRNA from 1 species